CAAUAACGCAUGCUAUAAAAAGGAGCUGAUGAGAUUUGUUUCCCUUUAGGGCACCAGCUGAAGGGUGAGAAUUUCUGGAAGAACUUGAGGAAGAAACUCAGGAAAGAAGAAAGCAUGAAAGAGGGUGUUGGCUCCUCUCUCUGAGCCUGGCUAGACUGCAGAAGGGCUCCAUGGGCAGGCGGAGGAGGGCCAAUUUUGUCCUGAGGGCAAUGGGGAGCCACUGAAGGGCGUUGAGCAGAGGAUGGAAGUGUUCCCAGCUCUGCCUGUCCCAGAGGAGGAAAGAUUCCCGGGCCCUGCCAUGGCUCCGGAGCCUUCAGACUGCUUCGCCUGCAGUGUGGUGUGGCCUCUCUACAGCCCCCCAGCUCCCGGCAGAGGCCCCAUCAGGCUUCAGGGGAGGCUUUCUCCUGCUCUUGACAACCAUUCAGGAAUUGAAUGGGCUCCUUCUUGCUGCUUUUGGAAAAUGGGCCCCUUCCAAGUGUAAGACAGUGUCAGGUGUCUGCAUUCUGUAAAAGAUUUAGGCCUUCUGGCCAGAUGGACACUUUCGGGGCUGGUCGGCCCAAGAAUUAGACCACCUCUGUGUAAGGGAGAUCCCCCUAAUUGGGAAACUCUACAGUCAGUUCUGUGUGCACUUUGCAGGCCCUCUGGGGGUAGAUUCAUUCACUCAUCAUUUACACCAUCAUUUAUCCAUCCACUUAUUCAUAUACCCAUCCCAGCCCCCACCUAUCCAUCCCUCCACUUUCCUAUCUAUCCAUCUUUCCAUCCGUCCAUCCACCCAUCCCAUCUACCCACGCGCUCACACAGCCCACCUAAUCCACGCCUGUACCCACCCCUGCAGCCAUUCACCCUCUCUUCAUGUGUCCUUCCAUCCACCCAUUGAGCCAUCUCUCUCCCAUCCCACCCACUCAUCCAUCUUUCCCUUCAGCCAUUGGUCCGUCCACUCACCUGCCCCGCCCGGUCCACCCCACCUCUCAAUCUCCUCAUCCCCCUACUCGUCUGUCCUCCUAUCCCGCUCACCCAUCCCUCUCUCCCUCCAUCCCUGCAUCCGGGCACCAGCUGGACCAGCUGUCAAUACAGCUGGACCCACAUUGGCCAAGGCUGGGGAGUAACACCACACCCUCCCUUUGACCUUCAGUGUCACCCUCGGCAGACUACUGGACCUCUCAGGCCCCUGAGAGUGUUCUGGUGAGUGCCUCUGAUCUCUUCCUGACCACCCUGCCCCACCCAUGAGAGAGCUGCCACCUCCUGCAUGUCUCCUGGGUGGCAGUCACAAUCAGACAGGAGGCUGGGCCCCGGGGUGAAUGGCAACUCACCGUAUCCUUGCUCGUACUCUCGAUGGUGAUGGCGGCGG